UGAGGAAUAUUGGGCAAUGCCCGCAAGGGUGACCCAGCAACGCCGCGUGGAGGAUGAAUGUCGUAAGAUUGUAAACUCCUGCUAGAGGGGAAGAAUAGUACCGGUUGGACCGGUAUAUGACUGUACCCUCAGAGAAAGCCCCGGCUAACUACGUGCCAGCAGCCGCGGUAAUACGUAGGGGGCAAGCGUUGUCCGGAUUUACUGGGUGUAAAGGGCGCGCAGGCGGUUAAUUAAGUCAGAUGUGAAAGGCUACGGCUCAACCGUAGAGUUGCAUUUGAAACUGGUUGAGUUGAGUGCAGGAGAGGUGAGUGGAAUUCCCGGUGUAGCGGUGGAAUGCGUAGAGAUCGGGAGGAACACCAGUGGCGAAGGCGGCUCAUUGGCCUGCAACUGACGCUGAGGCGCGAAAGCGUGGGGAGCGAACA
rnacentral:rRNA from 1 species